rnacentral:lncRNA from 1 species
AGUGACUGGGCGUCUGGGCAGUCUUCCCCAGUGACAAAGAAUUGAGUUCAGUCAUAAAGGAUCUGAUAUGCAGAGAGCACUCCCACUGAAUCUGCAGGACACAUCAUCAUUGCUCAUAUCCUGUCUUAGAUGGUUUCUUUUUCUGGGUUGGCCAGACUCUCGACCAUGGACAACCCUUAUGGAGUGCGGGUUCAGGCUCAAGGGAGAUGGACACAUGCCCCUUGGUUCCCAUGAUGGAGAUGCAGCUGGGGAUGAUAGGGCUGAGCAUGUGCUUGGUCCGUUUCUAGGAGCACAAAUUCUGAACUAUAGAUGCCCAAGGCAUCUGGUCCGUACCUGGGUGCCAAUGCAGCCUUCACCAUCUCACUGCACAACUGUCCAAAAUGACUGACAGCUGAGUAGGGAGAGCUGCUCCCUCAGCAGGCUAAUAAGGAGAAGUGGGUCCAGUACAUCUCUCUCCUUUCUGGUCUGUUGAGUGUGUAAGGACUCAGGAAGCUCUUCCCUUGGACUUCCAGCAAGUGGGAGGGGCAGUAUCUUCUCCCCCUCCCCCCAGCUAGGAAGAUGAGCACAUGACAGCAAUGAAUAUAUGCUCACACAGGUGAACCUGGGACUGGACCUCAAGGCAAAGACUGCCUCACCUAUUUGUGUUUUAUUUUCCUGAGCAUAGGUGAUUGAGCAGCGGUCCUGAGAGAUGGACCUUUCAAGCCUGGAGCUCUGGUUUUUCAGUCAGUGCCAGCUGCCCCUGUUGGGAGGUGCUCCCUUCAGCCAGUUGAGAUUUGUAACCAUGAAACAUUGCCAAGAGGACAAGAGAUGAGUCUUUGUGCUGAGGGGUGGCUUGGGAUCUUUAAAGGCACAGAACAGUUUCCCGAAUGCAAUUCAAUCCACCAUCUUCUUCCUGUUAAAUUCUGGGCCUCAUUCAGUGUCCAUCAGCAGUGUCUGCCCCAAGUACAGGUAUUAAUGUACUAACCCAAUGAACCAGGCCCUCCAAUUAAAUGCUGCAGCCUGAACAAUAGGCAUAUUUAUUGAUUUCAUUUUUUUCUGUGUGGAUUACUAAAUUGAC